GCCUGUGUGGUGUAGCGGUUUUGAGUGUUGGACUAGGACUCGAGACCAGGGUUCGAAUCCUGGCUCUGCCG